rnacentral:rRNA from 1 species
AGGGGUAGAAUUGCUUCGGAUGUUUGAGACCGGCGCACGGGUGCGUAACGCGUAUGCAACCUACCUCUUACUGGGGAAUAGACCCGAAGAAAUUUCGGAUUAAUGCCCCAUAUGCUCGUACGGCCUCAUGGUCGAGCGAGGAAAGCUCCGGCGGUAAGAGAUGGGCAUGCGUCCUAUUAGCUUGUUGGUGAGGUAAUGGCUCACCAAGGCUACGAUAGGGUACGGGGCCUGAGGAGGGUCGACCCCCACACUGGUACUGAGACACGGACCAGACUCC